GUAAUUUCUUGGCCUUUUGGUUAAGAACAAGUAUUGUAUCUGUUCUUUUUAGUUAAAUAUGUGAUACAUCCUCUAUCCAAGGACAGUAUACUAAAUGAAAUUUUAGAACAAGGAAAUGGAAUAAGAGCUUGCUCUGUUUAUUCCACACAUUGACCUGGUAUUACAGCACCUCCAGGAACAGUCUCCCCCUC